AGGCGGUGUCGUAAGUCUGAUGUGAAAGCCCCCGGCUCAACCGGGGAGGGUCAUUGGAGACUGGGAGACUUGAGAGCAGGAGAGGAGAGUGGAAUUCCAUGUGUAGCGGUGAAAUGCGUAGAUAUAUGGAGGAACACCAGUGGCGAAGGCGGCUCUCUGGUCUGUAACUGACGCUGAGGCUCGAAAGCGUGGGGAGCAAACAGG
rnacentral:rRNA from 1 species